AAAUAUUAACAGCAACUUAUAUGUACUUCCCCACUUGUUGCUCCAAGAGAUUUACAGAUACUACUUUGAAAACAAGAUGAAAGCCAUGGAAUCUCCCCCUGAGAAAAAUGUACAUCUUACAGACUUUCAGUCAGUUAUGGAACACCAGGAACCAGAGCCCACACUAAUGAACAGCAGUUUCCUAACCUAAUGCGAGAGAUCUGAGAUUUCUUCUGGCUCCCAUGAUCUUCUAAUAAUUGUCUUCUUAGCAAGACUAAACACAUCUCCAAGAAAUGUGCACUGCCAACAAUGUCUUCCAGCUAUCUUCUAUGACAGCAUUUCCCAGUGUGUUCUGUGGAAUAAUGGUACAGGGUGAUGUUCUAUGAAGAAAAAUAUGGAAAGUAAUAUAUUCCACAGUCCGUAUAUUAGAUCGGACUAAUAAAAAUAAAUAUGGAAAGUAA
rnacentral:antisense_RNA from 1 species